GAUGAACGCUGGCGGCGUGCCUAAUACAUGCAAGUCGAGCGAACGGACGAGAAGCUUGCUUCUCUGAUGUUAGCGGCGGACGGGUGAGUAACACGUGGAUAACCUACCUAUAAGACUGGGAUAACUUCGGGAAACCGGAGCUAAUACCGGAUAAUAUUUUGAACCGCAUGGUUCAAAAGUGAAAGACGGUCUUGCGGUCACUUAUAGAUGGAUCCGCGCUGCAUUAGAUAGUUGGUAAGGUAACGGCUUACCAAGGCAACGAUGCAUAGGCGACCGCAUAGGGGGAUCGCCCACCCUGGAACUGAGACAGGGUCCAGACUCCUACGGGAGGCACCAGUAGGGAAUCUUCCGCAAUGGGCGAAAGCCUGACGGAGCAACGCCGCGUGAGUGAUGAAGGUCUUCGGAUCGUAAAACUCUGUUAUUAGGGAAGAACAUAUGUGUAAGUAACUGUGCACAUCUUGACGGUACCUAAUCAGAAAGCCCCGGCUAACUACGUG
rnacentral:rRNA from 1 species